GGAGGACCGCGGUGGUCGAGUGGUUAAUGUAUGAUGCAGUGUGUUAUUUGUGCUGGAGGACCGCGGUGGUCGAGUGGUUAAUGUGUGAUGCAGUGUGUUAUUUGUGCUGGAGGACCGCGGUGGUCGAGUGGUUAAUGUAUGAUGCAGUGUGUUAUUUGUGCUGGAGGACCGCGGUGGUCGAGUGGUUAAUGUAUGAUGCAGUGUGUUAUUUGUGCUGGAGGACCGCGGUGGUCGAGUGGUUAAUGUGUGAUGCAGUGUGUUAUUUGUGCUGGAGGACCGCGGUGGUCGAGUGGUUAAGGUGUGAUGCAGUGUGUUAUUUGUGCUGGAGGACCGCGGUGGUCGAGUGGUUAAGGUGUGAUGCAGUGUGUUAUUUGUGCUGGAGGACCGCGGUGGUCGAGUGGUUAAUGUAUGAUGCAGUGUGUUAUUUGUGCUGGAGGACCGCGGUGGUCGAGUGGUUAAUGUGUGAUGCAGUGUGUUAUUUGUGCUGGGGGACCGCGGUGGUCGAGUGGUUAAGGUGUGAUGCAGUGUGUUAUUUGUGCUGGAGGACCGCGGUGGUCGAGUGGUUAAUGUGUGCUGACACUUUAUUACUAGCCCUCCACCUCUGGUUCGCGAGUUUGAAAACCUUUUCGAGCCGGUGGUUUUUCCGGGUACUCCGGCUUUCCUCCACCUCCAAAACCAGGCACGUCCUUAAAUGACCAUGGCUGUUAAAAUGACGUUAAACAAGAUAAGGCAGAUAAAGGGGAGGUAAUAAUGUAAGGCAGGUAGUAUUACAGGCAGGUAUGGAAGUAAGAUGAUGGGUAUUAAUUCCAUCGUGUAACUGAGGAUUGACAAGUUGAUGGAUGAGAGUUUCAUAAAUAAACUACUAAUAGAUAGAAUAGGGUGCAAGAUAAACAAUAAAACUCAGGUAAAAUUCAUAUAAAACUACAUGUAUUAGAGUUAUUUUACACAUAUCUACACAACAAUUUCAAAUCUAAUGUAACUAUACAAAGUUAAAAUAUGCAAAUACAUUCAUGAUCUUAAAAUAUAUUUUAAAAAAUGAUAUAUAAAAAAAGCUUAACAUUAACACGAAAACUAAACAAUAUACAGACAUAUUACUGAUAAGGAAUGUUGGUGUAUCGCGAUCAUUUAUGGAUAACUGUGUGUUAAAUACGAACAUAUAUUUGCUUACAUACUUAUACAUUCAGAAUUUUUUUUGAAAGUCCCAUACUCAGUUGAUAUA